CAGGGAAGGUGAAAUACAGAAGAGGAUGUUGAUCUACUGGCGUAAAGGAUGAUUUUCCCACUGUUCUGGGAGAACUUUAGAUUUCAUUCACUUCUUUCCUUUUUAACCAAAAGAAUAAUGAAUGUCCCACGAAAUACCUGAAGUUCCCCCUGUCACUCUGUGCCUUAACCUUUGUGAUGCUAAAGACUCAGAUUUGCAACCCUACCGUUCAUCUUUCACUUACGGCUCUGUAAUCUUUUGCCUAAAUUUCUGUGAGGUUUUGUGUUUUUUUCCUUCUAUGUCAUUCUCCUACUGUCAUCCUUGUAAUUUUCAUGCCUUUACACCUCUAACGGUGUCACUUUAGGUUUCUCAUAGUAAGUGAUUGCCCUGGCAUGACAAUUACCCCUCCUUCCCUGCUUUUUCCUAUGCAUUGUUGUUUGUAAUUCAGCUUAUACUAGAGGCAAACAAGACUUAAGAAAUAACAUCUUGUGUAAUAGUUAUUUAUAUAUAUAAUAAGUAUUACUCCCCAAUACAUGUGCAUGGUGCUCAACCAAUAAUUCCUCAUCUGUGAAGAUGUCCCAGAAACUAGCUGUAAGUCAUUGAUCGCAUUAUAGGCCUCUAAACAAAAAACUGCUUGAAAUUUAUUUGACAUACGUUGCUAGCAUUUUUAAUUUAAAAUUUAAUUUUUAAACUACUGAAAAGCACUGGUGUUAUACCACAAGCUCAUUCCACAUUAAACAUCACUGCAGUGCUAGGGUACCAAUCUCAGCAUCAUUAGCAACAUAUUCUCUACGCUAAAAGUAUUAUUUCAUUUUUAUAUCUUUAGGUUUAUAAAUAUUGACCACUUUUAGAGCAUCUGAAGUUAUUUCUGCAGAUUUUAUCGUGAGCAGCACCUUGCUGUUACCUUGUGGGCUGACAGUGGGGACUCAGGUGAUGGAGGUGCUGCAGUUCACUCGCUCAUCUUCACUCCUGUGCUGUAGGAAAUCGUUGCACACAAAGCCUCUGCUUUCCCAGGAUGGCAUAGUUCAGUCAUCAACCUGGAGUUCUUAGUCCUACUGUAUAUUUGGUGAGUACAGAUCACCAGGAGAAAAAAAAAAUAAAACCUGCUGAGGACAUUUUGUCACAGCAUAUAAAUCAAAAAGCAAGUUGGAUGAAAAAGCUAAUCUAAUUACUUAUAGUCCUUAAAAUGUUCCAGACCAGAUGUUGAAAAAUGUCACAUUGACCAGCUCAGCACUGCAGGGUACUAAGCUUUUCCUCGGGGCUACUGGAGCUUGAGUCAGAUGCAUUUAAAGGAUGCCCACGGUUUGUAAAUUCAAAGGUGCAGAAACAGGCACAAACAGAAGUGAAUCUCACUGGAAGGCAUGGAAUUAAGUGGAGAUCUAAAAGCUCAGCUACUCUUUCCCUAGGUCAGAUCAGUCCAGAUGGUUUAAUUCCUGACCAGUAUCUAUGCAACGCCAUGGAUGAAGCUUUGAUAUAUCAGUAAUUUCUGAAUAUUUUCUAUAAUUUGGAAAAGAAUGACUAAAUUCCACUUCAGUAGAUUCAACAAAACAAGGGUAAAAGAAAAAGAAAAUCUGAGCAUAUGUAGAUUAUUUCUUUUCACAUUUGGAAUGGAAGGUAUCAAAAAUAGAUUAAGAUGCUUGGCUGGAAGCACUUUAUGUGACCUCAAGCCAUAGCCUGAUGCCAAACAAGAGUUUUAAAAAUCCAAUUAAAAUAAAAUAUUAAAUAUAUAAAUAAAAGUUGUAAAUAAUUCCUCACUGUCAGAUAAAAAUACAUACACAUAUACAUACACAGAAUGCACUUUUGACUUACAUUGAAGUACAUGUCAAUGGUUGAACUGAAGUUGUUAUUUUUCUGUGCAGCUUGGGAGAGAAUGUGUCUAAAUGUCAUUUAAAGUAUUAAAUAAAGAAAGAAAUUGUAACUUUUAUUUAGUCUCACCCUUUUCUUUAUUUGUUACUCAUCCACUAGAAUAAAAAUCUAUUAGUCAUGCAGUUAAAUUUCUGAGUAAAAAAAUUAUGCUCUGAGAAAGAACAUUAGCCCACAGCAGUUAGCUCUGAACGAUAGCUAUGAUAAAUGGGUUUGCACCAGAAAUUUUGUUUGCUUUAUUGAUUUUUUUUUCCUGAAUUGAAAACUUAUUUGUCAUACAGCCUUCUCUGGAUCAAGACAG
ensembl:lncRNA